AGCGAACGCUGGCGGCAGGCUUAACACAUGCAAGUCGAGCGGGCAUCCUUGUGGUGUCAGCGGCAGACGGGUGAGUAACGCGUGGGAACGUGCCCUUCGGUUCGGAAUAACUCAGGGAAACUUGAGCUAAUACCGGAUACGCCCUUUUGGGGAAAGGUUUACUGCCGAAGGAUCGGCCCGCGUCUGAUUAGCUAGUUGGUGAGGUUAUGGCUCACCAAGGCGACGAUCAGUAGCUGGUCUGAGAGGAUGAUCAGCCACACUGGGACUGAGACACGGCCCAGACUCCUACGGGAGGCAGCAGUGGGGAAUAUUGGACAAUGGGGGCAACCCUGAUCCAGCCAUGCCGCGUGAGUGAUGACGGCCUUAGGAUUGUAAAGCUCUUUUCUCCGGGACGAUAAUGACGGUACCGGAGGAAUAAGCCCCGGCUAACUUCGUG
rnacentral:rRNA from 1 species